rnacentral:rRNA from 1 species
AUACGGAGGAUGCAAGCGUUAUCCGGAAUGAUUGGGCGUAAAGGGUCCGCAGGUGGCAUUGUAAGUCUGCUGUCAAAGAAUGAGGCUCAACCUCAUCAAGGCAGUGGAAACUACAAAGCUAGAGUACGGUCGGGGUAGAAGGAAUUCCUGGUGUAGCGGUGAAAUGCGUAGAGAUCAGGAAGAACACCGGUGGCGAAAGCGUUCUGCUAGGCCAGUACUGACACUGAGGGACGAAAGCUAGGGGAGCGAAUGG